rnacentral:rRNA from 1 species
UACGUAGGGGGCAAGCGUUGUCCGGAAUCAUUGGGCGUAAAGCGCGUGUAGGCGGUUCAGUAAGUCUGCUGUGAAAGUCCAGGGCUCAACCCUGGGAUGCCGGUGGAUACUGCUGGGCUAGAGUACGGAAGAGGCGAGUGGAAUUCCCGGUGUAGCGGUGAAAUGCGCAGAUAUCGGGAGGAACACCAGUUGCGAAGGCAGCUCGCUGGGACGUUACUGACGCUGAGACGCGAAAGCGUGGGGAGCAAACAGG